rnacentral:snoRNA from 1 species
AGAACUAUACUUUCAGGGAUCAUUUCUAUAGUUUUGUGAUAAGAGAAGUUUCUUCUGAACGUGUAAGCACCGAAACCACGAGGAAGAGACGUAGUGUUCUCUCCUGAGCGGUGAAAGCAGGCGUUUGGUGUUUGCUUCAGUGCAACUGCCAUCAGCCAUUGAUGAUCGUUCUUCUCUCCGCUUUUGGAGAGUAAGAGGAGAGAAACGCUGUCUGAGUGGU